rnacentral:rRNA from 1 species
GACGAACGCUGGCGGCGUGCUUAACACAUGCAAGUCGAACGGAAAGGCCCUGCUUUUGUGGGGUGCUCGAGUGGCGAACGGGUGAGUAACACGUGAGUAACCUGCCCUGGACUUUGGGAUAACUUCAGGAAACUGGGGCUAAUACCGGAUAGGAGCUCCUGCUGCAUGGUGGGGGUUGGAAAGUUUCGGCGGUUGGGGAUGGACGCGCGGCUUAUCAGCUUGUUGGUGGGGUAGUGGCUUACCAAGGCUUUGACGGGUAGCCGGCCUGGGAGGGUGAACGGCCACAUUGGGACUGCGAUACGGACCAGACUCCUACGGGAGGCAGCAGUGGGGAAUAUUGCACAAUGGGCGGACGCCUGAUGCAGCAACGCCGCGUGCGGGAUGACGGCCUUCGGGUUGUAAACCGCUUUAGCCUGUGACGAAGCGUGAGUGACGGUAAUGGGUAAAGAAGCACCGGCUAACUACGUG